rnacentral:rRNA from 1 species
CUUCCUACGGGACGCAGCAGUGGGGAAUAUUGCGCAAUGGGCGAAAGCCUGACGCAGCGACGCCGCGUGAGGGAUGAAGGUCUUCGGAUCGUAAACCUCUGUCAGCAGGGAAGAACGGUCACUGUGCUAAUCAGCAGUGAACUGACGGUACCUGACUAAGAAGCACCGGCUAACUCCGUGCCAGCAGCCGCGGUAAUAAGGAGGGUGCGAGCGUUAAUCGGAAUUACUGGGCGUAAAGCGCUCGUAGGCGGUAUGUCAAGUCAAGG